rnacentral:rRNA from 1 species
GAUACCCGUCUAUUUAUGGAGUAAACAAAGUCGAAUAAUACGAACCACAGUUUAAAACUUAAAGAUUUUGGCGGUGUCUUAUCAACCCAGGGGAACCUGUCUCAUAACUCGAUAACCCACGAAUUCCUCACCCUCUCUAGAUUCUAACAGCCUGUGUACUGCCGUCGUAAGCACACCCCUAAAAGAAAGAAGUGUGCAGACAUGAUUAAACUCAUAUACGUCAGGUCAAAGUGCAGCCCAUGGGAGGGAGAUGAUGGGUUACACCCUAAACAAAGAUACGGAAUAUAGUACUAAAAGCUAUAUAAAGGAGGACUUGGUUGUAACGUUUCUUCAAAACUAAAGUGAAUGUGAAUCUAAGACAUGCACACAUCGCCCGUCACUCUCGCCUAAAGGCGAGAUAAGUC